UACGGGGGGAGCAAGCGUUGUUCGGAUUUACUGGGCGUAAAGGGCGCGUAGGCGGUCGUGACAAGUCACUUGUGAAAUCUCCGGGCUUACUCGUCGAACGGUCAAGUGAUACUGUCGGACUAGAGUACAGAAGGGGCAACUGGAAUUCUCGGUGUAGCGGUGAAAUGCGUAGAUAUCGAGAGGAACACCUGCGGCGAAGGCGGGUUGCUGGGCUGAUACUGACGCUGAGGCGCGAAAGCCAGGGGAGCGAACGGG
rnacentral:rRNA from 1 species